rnacentral:misc_RNA from 1 species
CUCGCUUGCUCUUCGCAACGCACUCGCUUCGUUUUUUUUUGUUUGCUUGCCAGAAUUGUUUAGAUCCGCGUUUCCCUGCUGCAUGUUCGAUCGUGGCUUGUCGCGCUCCUCGUCUCCCCGUCCCCGCCGUCCCUCCACUUCUCCGCAGCCAUGUCUCUCGCGCCGAUCGAACACCGCCUGGAGCAGCGAUUUCGCCGCUAUUCCGCCAUCACCACCCAGAGCGACCCCCGCAACCUCGGCAAAUGCAUCCCAUCCACCCCCGGGCAGCAGGUGCUGGCGGAGCUGCUCGCCAAGGAGCUUCAGGCGAUGGAGCUGCAGAACGUCAUCUGCGAUAAGUAUGCAACUGUGACGGCGGUGAAGCCAGGCAAUGUGCCCGGCGCUCCGCGCAUCGGAUUCAUCUGCCACCUCGACACCUUCGACUGCGGUCUCUGCCCGCAUGUGAAGGCUCAGAAGAUUCGCUACACGGGCGGUGAUGUAUGCCUAAACAAGGAGAAGAACAUUUGGAUGAGGCUGAGGGAGCAUGCAGUGCUGAACAAGUACGUUGGACAGGACAUUCUUUUCGGCGACGGCACCAGCGUGCUCGGUGCGGACGACAAGGCCGCCAUUGCGUCGGUGAUGGAGAUGGUUGCCAACCUCGACUCCAGUAAGGAGAAGCACGGCGACAUCGUUAUUUGCUUUGUGCCAGAUGAGGAGAUCGGCUUGGUAGGCGCGAAGCACCUCGACGUAAAGGGGCGCUUCAACGUCGACUUCGCCUACACGCUCGACUGCUGCGAGCUGGGAGAGAUGGUGUACGAGUGCUUCAACGCCGCGAGUGCCACGAUUAAGUUCACAGGUGUCUCGGCGCACCCGAUGUCGGCCAAGGGCGUGAUGGUGAACCCACUGCUGAUGGCCGUGGACUUCAUUUCCCAGUUCAACCGCGAGGAGACGCCCGAGUGCACGGAGCUGCGCGAGGGGUACUGGUGGUUCGCGAAGAUGGAUGCCAACUCCACCCAGGCGAGGCUCGAGGCAAUGGUGCGCGAGCACGACCUCGCCAAGUACACGGCCCGCAAAACGUACAUGCUCGAUGUGGCCAAGAAGGUGCAGGCCAAGUAUCCGACCGGCAAGGUUGAAAUUGAGAUUGAAGACGUGUAUGCUAACAUCGCGAACUCGCUUAAGGAUGACUUCACUGCGAUUGAUCUGCUACUGGAGGCGAUGAGGAAGGCGAGCGUGAAGCCGAACAUUAUCCCGAUGCGUGGGGGCACCGACGGUGCAGCGCUCUCCGUGAAGGGCCUCCUCACCCCCAACUUCUUCACUGGUGCGCACAACUUCCACUCCUGCUUCGAGUUCCUUCCCAUCCCGUCCUUCGUGAAGGCAUAUGAGGUGUGCCACAACAUCGUCCUGCUCGGCGCUGAUAAGCGCAAGAGGACGCCGUCCUUGCUGUAGGCGCGCUGAGGCAGAGCACGCCAAGCAGCAAGCAGUACGCAGGCAGACGCGCAGGCGUAUAACUGGGUACUUUGUGCGCAUAAUAUCUGCGGCGGGAACGCCCCGCUCGCCCAACACAGCGCCCCCAUCCGCUUCUUCUCCAGGUGCUGUACUCGAUGAGGAGAGAGGAUGAAUGAGCGUGUGCCUACGUGUGACAGCUGUAGAUUUCCGUGUUCGGCAUCUAUCACGGUCGCAAUAAUGAGUGGAAAGCGAAAACGAAAUGCCCGGCAGCCUCGUGUCGCCGUUGCGAGGGCGUGGGGGAAGGGGCGCAGGUACCAUCCCAAAGAAAGGCGGGGGCGUCCCGAGCGACGCAGACAUGCGUAUGCACCUACAGAGAAGCACACGUGUGCAGUGCGUUGCGUGCCCCUCGCCCACGGAAGGCGGACACGCCCAUCAGCGCGUCUCCUGUCCGUGUUUACCCCCCCCCCCCCCGCUCCCGUCUCUGCGUCUCUCUUCAUUCGCUCGCCCGCUCGUCCGCUAAAAUUUUUUUUUCUCUGCUUUCUUUGCUUUGCCGCGUGUCUCUUCUUCCGUUGUUGGCGCAUGUGCAUGCAUAUCUGUGCGCGUGUGUCUGCGUGCAUGUAUGCAUAUCUAUAUGCACAG